rnacentral:rRNA from 1 species
GACGAACGCUGGCGGCGUGCUUAACACAUGCAAGUCGAACGGACAGGCCCUGCUUGCGGUGUGCUCGAGUGGCGAACGGGCGAGUAACACACGGGUGAUCUGCCCCUUACUUUGGGUUAAGCCUCGGCAACUGGGCCUAGUACUUGCUAGGACCAUGCUUUAGGUGGUGUGGUGGAUAGAUUAGUUUCGGUCAGGUAUGAGCUCGCGGCCUAUCAGCUUGUUGUUGGGGUAAUGGGCUACCAAGGCGUCGACGGGUAGCCGGCCUGAGAGGGUGGACGGCCACAUUGGGACUGCGAUACGACGCAGACGCCUACGGGAGGCAGCAGUGGGGGAUAUUGCACAAUGGGAGCAAGCCUGAUGCAGCGACGCCGCGUGGGGGAUGACGGCCUUCGGGUUGUAAACUACUUUCGGCCAUGACGAAACGCUUGUGGUGACGGUAGUGGAAGAAGAAGCACCGGCUAACUACGUG